rnacentral:rRNA from 1 species
AUUGAACGCUGGCGGCAGGCUUAACACAUGCAAGUCGAGCGGGGGAAGGUAGCUUGCUACUGGACCUAGCGGCGGACGGGUGAGUAAUGCUUAGGAAUCUGCCUAUUAGUGGGGGACAACAUCUCGAAAGGGAUGCUAAUACCGCAUACGUCCUACGGGAGAAAGCAGGGGAUCUUCGGACCUUGCGCUAAUAGAUGAGCCUAAGUCGGAUUAGCUAGUUGGUGGGGUAAAGGCCUACCAAGGCGACGAUCUGUAGCGGGUCUGAGAGGAUGAGCCGCCACACUGGAACUGAGACACGGCCCAGACUCCUACGGGAGGCAGCAGUUGGGAAUAUUGGACAAUGGGGGGAACCCUGAUCCAGCCAUGCCGCGUGUGUGAAGAAGGCCUUAUGGUUGUAAAGCACUUUAAGCGAGGAGGAGGCUACUUUAGUUAAUACCUAGAGAUAGUGGACGUUACUCGCAGAAUAAGCACCGGCUAACUCUGUGCCAGCAGCCGCGGUAAGAC